AGUGAACGCUGGCGGUAGGCCUAACACAUGCAAGUCGAACGGCAGCACAGUAAGAGCUUGCUCUUACGGGUGGCGAGUGGCGGACGGGUGAGGAAUACAUCGGAAUCUACUUUUUCGUGGGGGAUAACGUAGGGAAACUUACGCUAAUACCGCAUACGACCUAAGGGUGAAAGCAGGGGAUCUUCGGACCUUGCGCGAUUGAAUGAGCCGAUGUCGGAUUAGCUAGUUGGCGGGGUAAAGGCCCACCAAGGCGACGAUCCGUAGCUGGUCUGAGAGGAUGAUCAGCCACACUGGAACUGAGACACGGUCCAGACUCCUACGGGAGGCAGCAGUGGGGAAUAUUGGACAAUGGGCGCAAGCCUGAUCCAGCCAUACCGCGUGUGUGAAGAAGGCCUUCGGGUUGUAAAGCCCUUUUGUUGGGAAAGAAAAGCAGCAGGUUAAUACCCCGCUGUUCUGACGGUACCCAAAGAAUAAGCACCGGCUAACUUCGUG
rnacentral:rRNA from 1 species